AUGUUCAAUCUACAAAUACCCAGAGCUCACAGCAGUCAUGCAGAGGCCCAGGGGAAUCUUGUUUAAGUUCCGUGGCCAAGGCCAUAGGGGGAUAGUUUGAUUUGGGCGCCUCUCCAUCUCCCCUGAGGAAGUAGAGGUGUGACUGACAGGAGGGAUUGAGGUUCUCACCAGGAAGAGCUGCCCUGCUGGCAGAAUUGGGAGGGUCUGGAAGGUUCUCCUCCAAAGGCACUUCCUUUCCCCUUGGGGUGAUGGGCAGGCACUCGCCUUCCCUGGGCAGACAGCUGGGCAGAUUGCCUUUGGGGGAGGAGUGGGCUUUGUUCCCCCUUUGUGCGCCUCGGCAUCGAGGCAGAAGUUUUGUAAUUUCUAGGGAGGAGGAGAGCCCAGCACCCCUGAAAUUGACACUUACUUGCUGUUCCACAUUUGUCAGCACCUGCUGGGUGCCGGGCACCGUACUGGGCACUAGAGAUGAGACACCCUAUCCUGCGGUUGUUUCUCUCACUGCAGGACAACUCAAUCACUCUUCACUUAUAUAGAGAUGGGGGUCUCACUUUGUUGCCCAAGCUGGUCUCAAACUCCUGGGCUCAAGUAAUCCUCCCACCUUGGCCUCCCAAAGUGCUGGGAUUACAGGCGUGAGCCACCAUGCCCAGCCAGUCACACUCUUUUCAACCCUCUCAGACCUUCUCCACUCUCUCCUU
rnacentral:lncRNA from 10 species